GGCUUUUUAGCUCAGCAGGUAGAGCAACCGGCUGUUAACCGGUUUGUCACAGGUUCGAGCCCUGUAAAAGCCG
rnacentral:ncRNA from 13 species